GGCAGGCACUAUAAAAGAUCAGUUCAGUAACAGUUCUACAUGGGUGUUUAAAAGUGUUUCUUUUUUUGGUAGUUGGUCUGUUGAGGUUUUUUGACAGUAGUUUUGGCUGGACAUGGGUGAAAUCACUAUGCGAAUUUUAAAUCUUUCUUGGGCACUACUCAUAAUCCUUGUUCAUGACAGUAUUGUGAAUGCUUAUGACUAUAGCUCUGUCAAUGGAGGCUAUCAUGGAUCUUAUAAUCCUAAAGUGGAUUAUGUUGAGCAACACAGUUUCUACAGCCAGUAUGAUCCAGAUGUAGCUGGACCAAUUAGGCCCCGGGCUUCCAAGACCAUUUA